UGGCGACACCUUUAGCGACGACUCCCGAAAAGUCGCCGCUAAAGGCCCUAUCCGUGUCCACUCUUUUAAAUCAAUUCCUGGCCAUUCGAUCAAAAUACAUCUGACGGUUGAUGUUUCAAAGGUUAUUAAAACCUUGGGCGGGCUAUAGACUCACUCUUCCCUCCCAAAUCACACCAGUGCCACCUCCUCCAAUCCCUCAAUUGACGCCGCACAACCUGGCCGGACCACCUCCUCUGUGCCGCCGCACCGCCUCGCAGGUCUCGCAGGUCCACCUCCUCAGCGCCGUCGCACCACAGGGUGUAUCUUUUGCUCUGGAGUCGGUUUUGUGUCCAUCACCUGCUUUGUCCUUCUCAUCACUCAUAAAUACAACAUCAACAGUCAUUCGGAAACAAAGAAGCUCGAAUUCUUGUUCUAGGGCUUGACAAUGCUGGCGAAACCACUAUACUUUAUCGGCUUCAAAUGGGCGAAGUUGUCUCCACUAUUCCAAUGUUCGGGUUUAAUGUAGAGACGGUGCAAUAUAAGAAUAUAAGUUUCAAGUUUGGGAUCUCGGUGGAAGCAUAUUUUGCACAACUGUUGAUAUGCUAACUAUAUAAGUCGGGUUUGAGUUUGGGUUCAGCGGUCGCCACAUCGUUCACAAGGACUCUGAUACGGUGAGUACGCAGUCAAAACUGGUAUACAACAUGUUUGUUUGCAAAGAUCAGGGGUAUACAUGUUUGUUGACGGGGAUGGGACGCACAUUCGGCAUAUUUCAAUGGGUAUUGUUUACCUCUUUUCUUUCCAAGGUGUCGGUUUUUCGGAAAGUUAAUCUGCGACAUCAGUGAGUUUUAACUUAAAGUGUUAAAUCGUGACAUUGGAUUAUUUUAACGAUUCGUUUGAAGACCCGAGAUUCAUGGAACGACUCUACCGAGCUGUGGAUAAGAAGAAGAAGGGAUAAAAAAAGCAACGAAAAUGACAAGGACUAGGUAGAUUAAUGAUGUAUUUGCUUAGAAUUUAAGAGUUUCAAAACUUUAACUUAACCAAACAAAAUACUUUUGUUAUAGUUUUAUGUUUUAAAUUUGGUGUCUUAUGUUUA